UGGGGAAUAUUGCACAAUGGGCGAAAGCCUGAUGCAGCAACGCCGCGUGAGGGACGACGGCCUUCGGGUUGUAAACCUCUUUUAGCAGGAAAGAAGCGAAAGUGACGGUACCUGCAGAAAAAGCGCCGGCUAACUACGUGCCAGCAGCCGCGGUAAUACGUAGGGCGCAAGCGUUAUCCGGAAUUAUUGGGCGUAAAGAGCUCGUAGGCGGUCUGUCGCGUCUGCUGUGAAAACCCGAGGCUCAACCUCG
rnacentral:rRNA from 1 species